AACGUAAACUCCAUAUGGAGCUUCAAAAACAUCUGGUCUGGGAUCAGUUUGAGUUGCAUCCAGCCAUUAGCAAGGGGGAAAACCACAGCCAUCGUGACAGACAAGUCAGGGUAGGGUGGAAUAGAGGGACGAGACAAAAGAAGAGAGAGAGGGCUGGAGAACGGACACAUGUAAGAGGAAUACAGAAAGCGAGAGAGAAUGAAGAGGGGACCUUUGAAAGGCUCUUUAUUCGGCCGUGAUUGAGGAGAAGUGGAGGACAUUCAAAUAGAAAAAGGUCACCGGAGAGAGAGGGUGAGGAAGAUUCCAAUGAGGAAGAUGCUGGAGGUGACAUGGAUUUGAUACUGUACAUGGGUCACAGCAAACUUACAAACAGGCAAAGGACCCAGACGAUUUCAGUGUCACAUAAACACAAACCCCACUGUCUGAUGCCUGGCUCCACCUCCGUCUAUCUCUUCUAAUCCCUCUUCCAUAUUCCUACCCCUGCUUCCGCAGGACCUAUCAGCGCCAUCACUCUAGCCUAUAAAUAGCUUUGAUCCAUUCCCUUGUCAUGGUUUUGGCAGUGUAGGGAGGUGAAGGAGAUGGAGCAGCUCUCCUACAGUAAAGAGAACUUUUGUGACUUGGACCAAACAGGAGUUCCCCAUGAGAGGACUCAUGAGCUGAUGGAGAGAGUGAAUCUAAUUGAAGUAUAUGCAGCUGCUUGAGGAAUUAAGUGACAAUUAAAAGAUUCAUUUAUGCACUCAACCUAACAACCUUAAUUCAUCCAUUCAAGGCUCCAUAAAGGGCCGUCACGU